UAAACGCUGGCGGCGCACAUAAGACAUGCAAGUCGAACGGACUUAACUCAUUCUUUAGUUUGAGAGCGGUUAGUGGCGGACUGGUGAGUAACACGUAAGCAACCUGCCUAUCAGAGGGGAAUAACAGUGAGAAAUCAUUGCUAAUACCGCAUAUGCUGAUAGUAUCGCAUGAUACAGUCAGAAAAGGAGCAAUCCGCUGAUAGAUGGGCUUGCGUCUGAUUAGCUAGUUGGUGGGGUAACGGCCUACCAAGGCGACGAUCGGUAGCCGAACUGAGAGGUUGAUCGGCCGCAUUGGGACUGAGACACGGCCCAGACUCCUACGGGAGGCAGCAGUGGGGGAUAUUGCACAAUGGGGGAAACCCUGAUGCAGCAACGCCGCGUGAGGGAAGACGGUCUUCGGAUUGUAAACCUCUGUCCUUGGUGAAGAAACAUGACGGUAGCCAUGGAGGAAGCCACGGCUAACUACGUG
rnacentral:rRNA from 1 species